rnacentral:rRNA from 1 species
AGAGCGAACGCUGGCGGCAGGCCUAACACAUGCAAGUCGAACGCCCCGCAAGGGGAGUGGCAGACGGGUGAGUAACGCGUGGGAACAUACCCUUCGGUUCGGAAUAACUCAGGGAAACUUGGGCUAAUACCGGAUACGUCCGUGAGGAGAAAGAUUCAUCGCCGAAGGAUUGGCCCGCGUAAGAUUAGCUAGUUGGUGAGGUAACGGCUCACCAAGGCUAUGAUCUUUAGCUGGUCUGAGAGGACGAUCAGCCAUACUGGGACUGAGACACGGCCCAGACUCCUACGGGAGGCAGCAGUGGGGAAUAUUGGACAAUGGGCGCAAGCCUGAUCCAGCCAUGCCGCGUGGUAGAGAAGGUCCGUAAGGG